rnacentral:tmRNA from 1 species
GGGGCUGAACGGUUUCGACUGCGUACGUUGAGACAGGGGAAGCGUGUCGGUGCAGGCAAGAGACCACCGUAAGCGUCGCUGCAACCUAUAAGCGCCGAUUCCAAUCAGCGCGACUACGCACUCGCUGCCUAAGCGACUGCGUGUCUGUCAGCCCGGGUUCGCCCUCGACCCGGUCCCUGGCAUCAGCUAGAGGGCUUUACCGUCCGGCUCGGUCGCGGAGUCGUACGGGACAACUCACAGCGACUGGGACCGUCAUCUCGACUUGUUCGCGAGAUCGGGAGGUCCGAGUAGAGGCAUAGCGAACUGCACACGGAGAAGCCCUGGCAAGAUGCCGCAGGACCCGGGUUCAAUUCCCGGCAGCUCCACGG